AUUGAACGCUGGCGGCAUGCCUUACACAUGCAAGUCGAACGGUAACGGGCCUUCGGGUGCCGACGAGUGGCGAACGGGUGAGUAAUACAUCGGAACGUGCCCGAUCGUGGGGGAUAACGAGGCGAAAGCUUUGCUAAUACCGCAUACGAUCUACGGAUGAAAGCAGGGGACCGCAAGGCCUUGCGCGGACGGAGCGGCCGAUGGCAGAUUAGGUAGUUGGUGGGAUAAAAGCUUACCAAGCCGACGAUCUGUAGCUGGGCGGAGAGGAUGAUCAGCCACACUGGAACUGAGACACGGCCCAGACUCCUACGGGAGGCAGCAGUGGGGAAUUUUGGACAAUGGGCGAAAGCCUGAUCCAGCAUGCCGCGUGCAGGAUGAAGGCCUUCGGGUUGUAAACUGCUUUUGUACGGAACGAAAAGCCUUCUUUUAAUACAGGAGGGUCAUGACGGUACCGUAAGAAUAAGCACCGGCUAACUACGUG
rnacentral:rRNA from 1 species